rnacentral:rRNA from 1 species
AGUGAACGCUGGCGGUAGGCCUAACACAUGCAAGUCGAACGGCAGCACAGUAAGAGCUUGCUCUUACGGGUGGCGAGUGGCGGACGGGUGAGGAAUACAUCGGAAUCUACUUUUUCGUGGGGGAUAACGUAGGGAAACUUACGCUAAUACCGCAUACGACCUACGGGUGAAAGCAGGGGAUCUUCGGACCUUGCGCGAUUGAAUGAGCCGAUGUCGGAUUAGCUAGUUGGCGGGGUAAAGGCCCACCAAGGCGACGAUCCGUAGCUGGUCUGAGAGGAUGAUCAGCCACACUGGAACUGAGACACGGUCCAGACACCUACGGGAGGCAGCAGUGGGGAAUAUUGGACAAUGGGCGCAAGCCUGAUCCAGCCAUACCGCGUGGGUGAAGAAGGCCUUCGGGUUGUAAAGCCCUUUUGUUGGGAAAGAAAAGCAGCAGGUUAAUACCCCGCUGUUCUGACGGUACCCAAAGAAUAAGCACCGGCUAACUUCGC